UCACGCUGGACACGGGGCUGGGCUCCUCUUCUCCCCCUUGCCGCCGCCAACCGCCCGCAUCCGGUCGCCGCCUCUCCCCGACGCCUCUUCGUCCCUAUCUGCGUCCCCGGCCUCCACCAGGUAAUGGCGCUAGUUCCAGAGGUUGUGUUGGAUUUGUACGAGGGGGUUCCUAAGGAUUGCUUCGUCUCUGGCGUCCCAUUUACGCUGCGAGGCCAUGAGGAUAACGAGGUCAUUCCCGCCUUCGAUACGGUCCCAGGCCCCGAUGGGGUUCCAGCUAAGUGGAUCCGGUUCUGUGAUUAUCUGCCGUUCGUGGAUACCUGCCGGACAUACUGGAUGGACGCAUCAGCUCAUCCUCUCUAUGUGUAUGUCAUGCCAUACACCCCACUGAGGGAUGGCUAUUAUCUGCAUGAGCUUAUACAGGAUGCAGAUCAUCUUCCAGAUGGUAAUUCAGUCAGCGAGGAUCUGGUUGUUCAGCCAAUGGAGGGCCAGGAAAAUGCAGCGGCAGCACCCCAAAUCAAGAAGGGUAUUGUGGAAGUUGCUGCUGGAGCCAGUCUUACAUUCUCUGUGGUCAACUAUAGGCUCCUUUGGUCUAAGGCGCAAAAGUAUAGUAUCCUGUCCUAUGUCAGCAGUCCACUGGAUGAGUGCCUCCGCAGAUUGGAUGCCUGUGCCACCCUGCUGCAUGACAUCGCACCAGCAGUGACUACUCAUGAGCUAGGUAUUGCUGCAGAUAAUGCGAGGCGCCGUCUCGCCCUUGUUCUUGUGGAGAAUUAUGCAGAUGGCAUUUUAGGUGAGCAGACAGCUUAUCCCACCAAAAAUUUACACUGUUCAUUCGGCCGUGAAGGCUUAGCUAAACUCCUUUGACGGAAUGCCGCAACUGCGAGGCGCGAAUUAGCAUGAUCACAGCAUUUUCAUUUGAAGUGUUUCUUUUUCUUUUUUUGCGAGCAAAAGCGUUUUGAUUUGUUUAACACAUAGGUUUUUCUCGUAAGCAUGUCUCGCUCAUAGUAGCCGGAAACGGGGAACGAUGGACCGUCCCUCGAUCCGGAUUCAUGGUCCCGGAAUCAGAUUCGGGAACGAGGAUCGAUUCGGUAAGAUUCGAUGCGGAUUCGGCGUUUCCGCAGCCGGAUCGUUGAUUCAGAUUCGUCGACUCGGCAGUACUGGUUCGUGAAUCGAUUGGAUGAUUUAUGGAUCAACGACACAGCCCAGCCAAUUCUUGUAUAAGUACUCCCUCGUCCCUCUCCCUCCCAGUCCCAGCCAGUUGCUCCCUGCAUCCAGUGACCAGAGGCGCAUGCAGCAGCAGAAAUUCAGAUUCAAAACCAACGAUGCUUCAGAAGACUUGAUUGCUCGAGGAUCCAAGAGUCCAGUGACAUUCAGGCAUUCGGUUUUCAGAUUCAGAGAUUGCGAUGGCGUUUGGGUCGAAACGUAAGUUAGCAGAUCGGAGUGACAUCCAGGAGGAUGACGGUGAUGAUGUUGAUCUCAUCAAUUCCGAUGAUGAGCGUAAUAGCGUUGAUGAACAAGAUGAAUCUGCCGAGCAUGGUACUGCAAAACCUGCUAAAUCCCUUCUAGAUGAGGUAUUUUUUCUUGAUGCACCUAAAGGGAAGAACUCUGGUGGAUCAAGACCCUGGCGAUGCAAACAUUGUGAUAAGAAGUACACGAGUAGUUAUACAAGAAUUCAUCAGCACUUCUUUGGUGUUGGUCCUGGCAAGACGAAACAAAUUGCUCGCUGCUCUGUCGCAAGUGAUCGCGUCAAGUAUAAGAAAAUAUAUGAUAAGUAUUACCAACCUGAGAAAGUACAAGCUUCAGGCUCGGCGCCUAAAAAGCAAUUAGUAGAAGCUUUUGCUGGGGUGGAAAGAGAUGCAGUGGACAUGCAAAUAAUGUUGUUCCUUUGUGCUAAUGGAAUUCCCUUUAAUGUGUUGAGAAGUCCUCAAUACUAUGAAAUGGUAGCAGCCAUCCAGAGAGCACCAAAGGGAUACAAACCUCCUGCAUAUGAGAAGGCUAGGACUACUCUUCUAGAUGCAUGUAAGAGAAAGGUGGAGAAUGAUUUGGCUCCGGUUAGACAAACAUGGUAUUCCCAUGGUGUCUCUGUUGUUUCUGACGGAUGGACAAAUAUGAAGAACCAUCCAUUAAUCAACGUAAUAGCAUCGAAUAGCUGUGGUUCAAUGUUUCUGUACGCAGAAGACUUCUCUGGAGAAGAGAAGACGGGUGAAGCCAUUGCACAAUUCUUACUGCAAGCCAUUGAGGAGAUUGGCCCUUCCAAUGUCCUUCAGGUCAUCACUGAUAAUGCAUCUAAUUGCAGAGUUGCGGGUGAAGAAAUUGAGAAAGUGCAUAAGCAUAUAUUUUGGUCUCCAUGUGUGGUUCACACACUGAAUCUAGUAUUCAAAGAUUUUGCAAAAAAGUUUGCUUGGAUGGUUGAUACAUACCAGACUGGGAAAGCAAUUGUGAAGUUCUUUAGGAACCACCAGCACUUUCAAGAUCUCUUUAGACGCAACUCCAAGUUGGAUCUUUUGAAGGUCUCAAAAACAAGAUUUGCUUCUCAUUAUAUUGUGCUUAAGAGGCUUAUGGAUGUUCGAGAGGCGCUCACAACUACCAUUGUCACAAGCAAAUGGAAGGAACUGGUGAAGGCUUGUGAUGUACAAACAAGAGCAGCAGCAAAUGCGAUUGCCCAAAAUAUCAUUGAUGAGACAUUUUGGGAUGAGAUUAAAAUCAUCCUUGACAUCACAAAACCAUUAUAUAUGGUAAUCAAGUUCAGUGACGGAGAAGGUCCAAAAUCUGGUGAUAUAUAUGAAAGAAUGGACAAUAUGCUUGGCGAGAUGCAAGAAGUCAUGACAAGGGAAGAUAACCCUCACAAAGAUGAUUGGUCGAAGGUAAAUGAAAUUAUUCUUUAUCGGUGGGGAAAGAUGAACUGGCAUUUUCAUUGCUUAGCAUUUGCUCUUUCUCCUAAGUAUUAUGAUCAAGCCUAUCUUGCAAGUCCUGCUCCUGGUGGUGGUCAAAGGAAAGCUCCAAAUGAUGACAGUGAGGUUAUGGAAGGUGUUAUAGAGGCUCUAAAUAGAAUUGCAGAAGAUAAAAAAGAGUAUGCUCUUUUACGUGAGGAGCUUAACACCUUUAUAAUGAAGAAAGGUUUGUAUGCAAUAGACGCCGUUCAGGCUGAUGCAGCCACGAUGAAUGCCACAGAAUGGUGGUUCAAUUAUGGCUCACAAACUCCAACUUUAAGUGAGGUGGCAAAGAAAGUCUUGUCUCAGCCAAUAAGCAGCUCCUCUGCCGAAAGAAAUUGGAGUACCUACUCAUUCAUACAUAAUGUAAAGAGAAACAAGCUGAAUGCAAUGACAGCCGAUAAGCUUGUCUUUAUUCAUGCAAACGAGCGUCUGAAGAGGAGGUUUUCAGAGGGCUACAAUUCAGGUCCACAUUAUAAGUGGGAUGUUGAGCCUGAGAAUGAUUUGCUGGAGGAUUCAAGCUUGAAGCUUGAGCAGCUGCGUUGGGAUAGCUUGGAGGAUGAAGCAGCUGAUGCUGAACCACCACGCAAAAUUCAGAGGACUUGAAACACUAGGAAGUGUCCGGUACAUGGCGCAGAUCCACAUGAUGCUCUCCUUGCCAUGUUUCCAGAAACACACAAUGAAGUUUACCGAGAUCAAUGCCGCUGUCAUCCUGAGCUCUACCCAAUUGAGGGAGACCCUCCCACUGCCACCCUAACAAGGAUUCAGUCAGCUAUGCAUGAUCUGGGAUAUGAAGACCAAGACAUUGAUGAUCAGUUAUCCAUACGCCAAGCAGAGUAUGACCUGAUGAAUGCAGAAGGGGCUGUGGAGUUUCACGACUACAGCACAAAUAUCCAUGCAAGGUUCUUGGAUUCCAGGAACAAAAUUGCCAGCGCCGUCAAUCCUACUCGAGACUAUGUUAGAGAGGCAACUAUGAGCCACUGUCUUAUGGGAGUGCUUGCUCAGUAUGAAGAUGGCAACCCUCAGGAGGCGAAUUGAAACUUGAAAAUGCCAACAAAGAGAAGAGCUAGCAAUCCAUGCGCAAUUGCUGAUUGUUUCCAGAGCGAAUGCAACCAAAGCACUUGCAUACAUCUCUUAACAACAUGUGGGUGGCUGUAUUGAGUCUUAUACUUGCAUCUGAUAGCAUCAUUCGUGGGUCGUGGUUGCAACCCAGUCAUCUGUUAGCAGCAUGUGUAAGGAAUGCCCUGAGUUUUGACAUGACGUGCUAUCACUGCGCACAUCAAGUAGUUACCUAGAGGAAUGAAUAUAAUACGUAUGUAGCAUGGAUAUUGCCCGUUGCCACGGUUGGAUCAAAGGUUAUGUGCAGGAGCACUGUUCCCACAACUAUCUAAACGAACCUGUCUCUGAACUCGGUCGCGUGAGUUAUCUCGACUUCUCGAGUGUCCUGAUUAGCAUGUUUUUGU